rnacentral:rRNA from 1 species
AAAGGGGAAGUCGGUGAUCCUAUGCUGCCAAGAAAAUCUUCUAGCGAGGUUCUAGCCGCCCGUACCCCAAACCGACUCAGGUGGUUAGGUAGAGAAUACCAAGGCGAUCGAGUGAAUCGUGGUUAAGGAAUUCGGCAAAAUACCCCCGUAACUUCGGGAGAAGGGGGGCCCAGAGGGUGACGGGACUUGCUCCCCGAGCCUGAACGGCCGCAGAGACCAGGGAGAAGCGACUGUUUACUAAAAACACAGGUCCGUGCCAAGUCGCAAGACGAUGUAUACGGACUGACGCCUGCCCGGUGCUGGAACGUUAAGGGGACCGGUUAGCCUCACGGCGAAGCUGAGAACUUAAGCGCCAGUAAACGGCGGUGGUAACUAUAACCAUCCUAAGGUAGCGAAAUUCCUUGUCGGGUAAGUUCCGACCUGCACGAAUGGCGUAACGACUUCUCCACUGUCUCAACCACGAACUCGGCGAAAUUGCACUACGAGUAAAGAUGCUCGUUACGCGCAGAAGGACGGAAAGACCCCGGGACCUUUACUACAGCUUGGUAUUGGUGUUCGGUACGGCUUGUGUAGGAUAGGUGGGAGACUGUGAAGCUGACACGCCAGUGUCGGUGGAGUCAACGUUGAAAUACCACUCUGGUCGUUCUGGAUAUCUAACCUAGGUCCGUAAUCCGGAUCAGGGACAGUGCCUGGUGGGUAGUUUAACUGGGGCGGUUGCCUCCUAAAAGGUAACGGAGGCGCCCAAAGGUUCCCUCAGCCUGGUUGGCAAUCAGGUUUCGAGUGUAAGUGCACAAGGGAGCUUGACUGUGAGACUGACAAGUCGAACAGGGACGAAAGUCGGGACUAGUGAUCCGGCGGUGGCUUGUGGAAGCGCCGUCGCUCUACGGAUAAAAGGUACCCCGGGGAUAACAGGCUGAUCUUGCCCAAGAGUCCAUAUCGACGGCAUGGUUUGGCACCUCGAUGUCGGCUCGUCGCAUCCUGGGGCUGGAGUAGGUCCCAAGGGUUGGGCUGUUCGCCCAUUAAAGCGGUACGCGAGCUGGGUUUAGAACGUCGUGAGACAGUUCGGUCCCUAUCCUCUGCGCGCGCAGGAAACUUGAGAAGGGCUGUCCCUAGUACGAGAGGACCGGGAUGGACGAACCUCUGGUGUGUCAGUUGUUCUGCCAAGAGCACCGCUGAUUAGCUACGUUCGGGAGUGAUAACCGCUGAAAGCAUCUAAGCGGGAAGCAUGCUUCAAGAUGAGGUUUCCACGGGGUUUACCCCGAGAGGCUCCCAGCUAGACUACUGGGUUGAUAGGCCGGAUGUGGAAGUGCGGUAACGCAUGGAGCUGACCGGUACUAAUAAGCCGAUAACUUGACCU